AUUUAACCUAGUCAACGAUUCUUUAAUUUUAAAAAAUAUAAACUAAUCAAUUACUUUAAUUAAAUUUAUAGCUAUAAAAAUUACGUAAAAUACACUAACUAAACCUAUAAAGAUAAACAAUGUGCUCAAAUCGUGAAAUCAAAAUGUCGUUAACUAACUCAUAUUAAAUAAAUUAAAAAAUUAAAUAGUAAAAUUAAAAUUUUAAAAAUUUAGAUAAUCAAAUCAAAAUGGUCUAUAAUUCCAUCUUUCAUC
rnacentral:lncRNA from 1 species